rnacentral:misc_RNA from 1 species
AAAGUGCGAUAAGCAAUGCGAAUUGCAGAAUUCCGCGAAUCAUCAGAUCCUUGAACGCAACUGGCGCUAGGAGGCUCUCCUCCUAGCAUGCCUGUUUCAGUGUCUGAAAACCUCAUAUUUUAUCAUAAUGUGGUUGAUGAUGAGCUUUUUUUGUUUAUAACAAAAAAAAAUAGCUCCUAAUCUUCCAUUAAAGAUGUACGUGUGGGUUUUUGAACCCCUCAUCGAAUUUGGUCGCUGAUUCUUUCAGUGAUUUCGAGAGGGUUGUCUCAAUUACUCGAAUACACUGUAGACACCCACCAAACUUUCAUCUCUGCAUCUGAAAUCAGGCAAGAACACCCGCUGAACUUAA